UAGGUCCUUGGGACCUGGCCUUACAGCUUUGGCUGGGUUGGAUUAGGUUUUUGUAUACCCUCUAAAGAGGCCCAUAACAGUGUGAUUACUUUGAUGUAUGGGGCGCUGGAACACUGGUCACCGUCUCCUCAGCCAGGACAACAGCCCCUUCCGUCUUCCCUCUGGCUGCCAGCUGUGUAGACACAUCUGGCUCCAUGAUGACCCUGGGCUGCCUGGUCAAGGGCUACUUCCCUGAGCCGGUGACUGUGAAAUGGAACUCAGGGGCCCUGACCAGUGGAGUGCACACCUUCCCGGCCGUCCUUCAGUCAGGCCUGUACUCACUCACCAGCAUGGUAACUGUGCCCUCCAGCCAGAAGAAGGCCACCUGCAAUGUAGCCCACCCGGCCAGCAGCACCAAGGUGGACAAGACUGUUGAGCCUAUUCGAACUCCUCAACCCAACCCGUGUACAUGUCCCAAGUGCCCACCUCCUGAAAACCUGGGUGGACCAUCUGUCUUCAUCUUUCCCCCGAAGCCCAAGGACACGCUCAUGAUCUCCCUGACCCCUAGGGUCACAUGUGUGGUGGUAGAUGUGAGCCAAGAUGAGCCUGAAGUCCAGUUCACAUGGUUCGUGGACAACAAACCGGUCGGCAAUGCUGAGACAAAGCCCCGAGUGGAGCAAUACAACACGACAUUCCGCGUGGAAAGUGUCCUCCCCAUCCAGCACCAGGACUGGCUGAGGGGCAAGGAAUUCAAGUGCAAGGUCUACAACAAAGCCCUGCCAGCCCCCAUAGAGAAGACCAUCUCCAAAACCAAAGGGGCUCCCCGCAUGCCAGAUGUGUACACUCUUCCCCCGUCCCGAGACGAGCUAUCCAAGAGCAAAGUCAGUGUGACCUGCCUGAUCAUCAACUUCUUUCCUGCCGACAUCCACGUGGAGUGGGCCAGCAAUAGGGUUCCAGUGAGUGAGAAGGAAUACAAGAACACCCCACCCAUUGAGGACGCUGACGGGUCCUACUUCCUCUACAGCAAGCUCACUGUGGAUAAGAGCGCGUGGGAUCAGGGAACCGUCUACACCUGCUCCGUGAUGCAUGAAGCCCUGCACAAUCAUGUCACUCAGAAGGCCAUCUCCCGGUCUCCGGGUAAAUGAGUGCUGUGCCCAGCAAGCCCUCACUAACCUGUAGGCUCUUGAGUUCUGCAGGACCCUGUCCCCCAACACCCAUGUAAAUAAAGCACCCAGCACUGCCUGGGACCCUGCCA